UCCUGGUUAGCUCAGUUGGGAGAGCGCGUUACUGGAAAUGGGGAGGUCCCGGGUUCGAUACCCGGACCAGGGG
rnacentral:tRNA from 2 species